GAUGAACGCUGGCGGCGUGCCUAAUACAUGCAAGUCGAGCGAAGCGGGGACGGGUGAGUAACACGUGGAUAACCUCCUAUAAGACUGGGAUAAAUUCGGGAAACCGGAGCACAACCGGAUACUCAUACAUGGAUCCGCGCUGCAUUAUCUAGUUGGUAAGGUAACGGCUUACCAAGGCAACGAAGCAUAGCCGAAUGGCGAGGGGAAUCUGCCACACUGUAACUGAGAAGCGUUCCAGACUCCUACACGAGGCAGCGGUAGGGAAUCGUCCGCGACGGGCAAAUGCCUGACAGAGCAACGCCGCGUGAGUGAUGAAGGUCUUCGGAUCGUAAAACUCUGUUAGUAGUGAAGCGGUACCUAAUCAGAAAGCCACGGCUAACUACGUGCCAGCAGCCGCGGUAAUAC
rnacentral:rRNA from 1 species